rnacentral:rRNA from 1 species
AUGAUAGCUCCAAAGGUUAAUUUUUUGUGAUGGAAUGUCAGAGGGCUAAAUGACCCGGACAGACGUGCGACUGUGCACGAGACGAUCGCCUCCACCUCAUGCCACAUCGUCUGCCUUCAGGAGUCCAAGAUGGAAAACGUCGACCAGUACGUCGCCUCCUACCUUGGUGGUAAUAGACUCCGUAGCUUUGCUCAGCGUCCGGCCACUGGAUCCAGAGGGGGCCUCCUCAUGCUCUGGGAUGAUAGUGUCGUUCGCAUAUCCGAUGUCCACAUCACUGAGUUCUGCCUUUCCGCAACGGUCAACGUCAUUCAUUCCGAUACCCCUUUCAAGAUCACU